rnacentral:lncRNA from 1 species
AGAUGUAGGCGGAGUUGGAGAACCAGAGCGAGAGCGAGUAGAGCGCGCCGAUGGGGAGCACGGAGGCGACGUAGAGCUGCGGCGUCAUGGCGGGAGACGAGGGCAGGUCGACGACACGGAGGACGCGGACGAGCGCGACGGCGAGGGAGGAGCAGAAGGCCAUGUGGACCAUGGUGAGGGAGAUGGGGAAGGGCCAGUUGUACAUCUUGGGGUCGAGGAUGUACUUAUUGUAGACGAUGACGGAGAAGGAGAGGAAGAUCCACACCGCCACGUACAUGUACGAGACGAGCACCUUGCGGAUCACCGACUCCGACAUGCCGCCGUCGCCUCCGCCGCCGCUGCCGGCGCCCUCCUUCCCCAUGGCUGUGGCUCCUGUCCGGCCGCCUUCUGUCCCCCGAGCU